rnacentral:rRNA from 1 species
GAUGAACGCUGGCGGCGUGCCUAAUACAUGCAAGUCGAGCGAACAGAUGAGGAGCUUGCUCCUCUGACGUUAGCGGCGGACGGGUGAGUAACACGUGGAUAACCUACCUAUAAAACUUGGAUCACUUCGGGAAACCGGAGCUAAUACCGGAUAAUAUAUUGAACCACAUGGUUCAAUAGUGAAAGACGGUUUUGCUGUCACUUCUAGAUGGAUCCGCGCCGCAUUAGCUAGUUGGUAAGGUAACGACUUACCAAGGCAACGAUGCGUAGCCGACCUGAGAGGGGGAUAGGCCACACUGGAACUGAAACACGGUCCAGACUCCUACGGGAGGCAGCAGUAGGGAAUCUUCCGCAAAGGGCGAAAGCAUGACGGAGCAACGCCGCGUGAGUGAUGAAGGUCUUCGGAUCGUAAAACUCUGUUAUUAGGGAAGAACAAAUGUGUAAGUAACUAUGCACGGCUUGACGGUACCUAAUCAGAAAGCCACGGCUAACUACGUG